UACAGAGGUCUCAAGCGUUGUUCGGAUUCAUUGGGCGUAAAGGGCGCGUAGGCGGCAUGUUAAGUCGGCUGUGAAAGCCUGGGGCUCAACCCCAGAGGGUCGGCCGAUACUGGCAAGCUAGAGUACGGAAGAGGUAGCUGGAAUUCCUGGUGUAGCGGUGAAAUGCGUAGAUAUCAGGAGGAACACCGGUGGUGUAGACGGCUUUCUGGACCGUAACUGACGCUGAGACACGAAAGCGUGGGUAGCAAACAGG
rnacentral:rRNA from 1 species